rnacentral:misc_RNA from 1 species
UCUCCGUAGGUGAACCUGCGGAGGGAUCAUUACAGAGUUCAUGCCCUACCGGGUAGAUCUCCCACCCUAUGUUAUUAUGACUUUGUUGCUUUGGCGGGCCGUUAGGCUCCGGCCCGACUACCGGCCCCGGCUGGUAAGCGCCCGCCAGAGGACCCAAAACCCUGAAUAUUAGUGUCGUCUGAGUACUAUAUAAUAGUUAAAACUUUCAACAACGGAUCUCUUGGUUCUG